rnacentral:rRNA from 1 species
AAUGGGCGCAAGCCUGAUCCAGCCAUGCCGCGUGUGUGAAGAAGGCCUUUUGGUUGUAAAGCACUUUAAGCGGGGAGGAGGCAACUUGGGUUAAUACCCCGAUGUUGCGGACGUUACCCGCAGAAUAAGCACCGGCUAACUCUGUGCCAGCAGCCGCGGUAAUACAGAGGGUGCGAGCGUUAAUCGGAAUUACUGGGCGUAAAGCGCGCGUAGGCGGCUUGUUAAGUCGGAUGUGAAAUCCCUGGGCUCAACCUAGGAACUGCAUUCGAUACUGGCAAGCUAGAGUGUGGGAGAGGAAGGUAGAAUUCCAGGUGUAGCGGUGAAAUGCGUAGAGAUCUGGAGGAAUACCGAUGGCGAAGGCAGCCUUCUGGCCUAACACUGACGCUGAGGUGCGAAAGCAUGGGGAGCAAA